rnacentral:lncRNA from 1 species
UUAAGGACCUUUCCAACCCAAUCAUCCUAUGGUUCUGUGAUCUUUAAGGACCUUUCCAACCCAACCAUCCUAUCGUCCUGUGACUUUUAAGGACCCUUGCAACCCCACCAUUCUAUGGCAAUGAUUCUGUGAUGAAUACUCAGCACCAGAGGCUUUGUCCAAGGGUGAUUCCCCCUCUGGAAGAUGCUACAAGGUGCUCUUCCACCAAUUCCAGAAUCUGCCUCAAGAUGGUGCUCCG